CUUGAAACCCAAAGGACUUGACGGUGCCCCACCCCCCCCUAGAGGAGCCUGUUCUAUAAUCGAUGAUCCCCGCUACACCUCACCACUACUUGUAUUUUUCAGCCUGUAUACCGCCGUCGUAAGCUUACCAUAUGAACGCCCCCCCCCCACCAUGUCAGGUCAAGGUGCAGCCCACGUAGUGGAAAGUAAUGGGCUACAAUUUCUAUCCUAGAACAUACGAAAGGUUGCAUGAAAAACAGCCACGAAGGCGGAUUUAGUAGUAAGAGGGGAACAUAGAGCCCCUCUAAACCCGGCACUGGGUCGCGUACACACCGCCCGUCACCCUCUUCAACAGCCCCCCCCCAUACCUAAUCCAAUAUUGCAUUCAAGAAGAGGCAAGUCGUAACAUGGUAAGUGUACUGGAAAGUGCACUUAGAAUAA
rnacentral:rRNA from 1 species